AUUCUGCCCAGCAGCUUCCUGAAAAUGUAGUCUUGCCACACCAGAGGAAGGAUAGACCCAUAGCUGUGGGGGACCCUGUGUCAGCAGGAUUUACUACCGGGUGAGCUGGGGCUGCAACAGCACGUGUGAGCAACUUAACAGGGCUGAUGGUUUUUCAACAAAUUUUUAAAAAUUAAAAAAAAUUUUAAAUUUUUGUCGGGACAUAGUAGGUGUGUGUAUUUAUGGGGCAUGAGAGAUAUUUUGAUACACGCAUACAAUGUGUAGUAAUUGCAUCAGGGUAAAUGGGGUAUCCAUCACUUAAAGCUUUUAUCCUUUGUGUUACAGACAAUCCAAUUAUACUCUUUUCGUUAUUUUUAAAUGUACAAUUCAAUCAUUAUUGACUAUAGUCACCUUGUUGUGCUAUCAAAUAUCAGAUCUUAUUCAUUCUUUUCGCUCUUGUCUCCCAGGCUGGAGUGCAGUGGUUUGAUCUUGGCUCACUGCAACCUCCGCCUCCCGGGUUCAGGAGAUUCUCCUGCCUCAGCCUCCCAAGUAGCUGGAAUUACAGGCGUGCACCAUCAUGCCUGGCUAAUUUUUUUGUAUAUUUAGUAGAGAUGGGGUUUCACCAUGUUGGCCAGGCUGGUCUCAAACUCCUGACCUCAGGUGAUCCGCCUGCCUCGGCCCCCCAAAAUGCUGGGAUUACAGGCGUGAGCCACUGUGCCUGGCCAAGAUCUUAUUCAUUCUUUCUAACAAUUUUUUUUGUAGUCAUUAACAAGGCUGAAGUUUUAAUGCAACUUACUUUUAUUGCACAUGCCAUGCAUUAUGCACCAAUCUGUGUUCUUCCAAUGCUACCGGGAACCUCUUACCUUUGUAUCAGUUCAUCGUUGUCCUCUUCUCCAACUGCCUGUGUACCUGGGUCAGGGGUCCUCUUUUAUCGAGUGGAACAAAUGUGCCCAGGUACAGAGAAAUGCUUUGUGCUAUUGUCCACCAGGCAGGGGCAUUUUCUUUUCUCAAAUAUUCUUGGUAAAUAGACGAGCAGUCUUUACUUGAACGCACUGGGUGUCAUAUGCCACAGCCCUAACUUGAAUGUGCUGGCUUGCUGCAAGUGGGUGAUUCCUUAGAAAUUUGCUCUGUUCCUAGACGGGAUCAAAAUGGUCCUUAGAUUCUUAAUGGGUCCCUAUCUGGAAUCCAUUUGAUCUUAAAAUAAAAUGGCCGUGGAAGAAAUUUUUCAUUAAUUCCUAGCUGAUUUGCAAUGAAAUUAAAUUUCUGAGUAUAAGGAAUAUUUUUUACGGAGUAAACUUAUAAGUGGGGUUGCUGGGUGUUUCCCAUUGAUUAGCCUAGUGUUUAAAAGUAUAAUGUCUUUAUUUUCUGGUUUCUUACUUUUUUGAGUUCCCUCACUUUUCUUCUAGAGUUCAUUAUGCAGGUCUGGAAAACAACAACCACCACCACCAGCAGGAGAAAAGCAGGGGUUAGUUUGGGGGGGGUUGAAAUGGGAAAAAUAGACAUUUCCAGCUCCCAACAUCUUAUUUCCUGAAUAUCUUCGGAGCCCAAGAAAGUGGCUCUGAGCUGCCUUUGCAGUCUUGAAGCUGCACUUGCGUUCCCACCAGCCCCCGGGCCUCUGGUUGCAUCCUGGGGGGCACUUCUGCACUCCCAGCCUCCUGGGUAUGGAUUGGGGUGAAGAUGUUGUGCAGUGAGGGGUGGGAGCCCCACACCCUAAUAGAGCCAAGCUGGCCACACUGCCUGUCUUUCCCAAUUAGUUCCCCAAAGGGAACAAAGCCUUAUUUCUUCCCUCCCUUAGUUCCCAGGCACUGGUUGGGGAAAAACAAUCCUUGGCAGCUCAGGGGUUAAAAAUAAAACACAGCGAGGGGGAAAACAAGCCGGGCAGCUGCAGCGGCUCCUCAGAGCCCACUCCAGGCUAAAUAGAGGCCCCAGCAACUCCUUGGAGACUUGAACCCUGGGCGAUGGAAUUUUCCCUUGCAUGAAGGCUAUUGUCCUCUGGAAAGGGCCAGGGCCAGAGGAGGGCCUGGGGAGCACUGAUCUCCCCAGCCCACAGCCAGGGAGCUCCUGAGAGCCCAAGGGCUCGGUCCCACCCAGCUGGGUUUGGGUGAAAAGGCAACGGGGGGUGCAGCCCACCCCUCCCCCUUUGGGAAAAAGGGAGGGCUUGGGCUUCCAAAGGCCUGGGUACCAGUUGUUGCCCCACUCCUCAGCCCAACCAGCUAGUCACGGAUGGAAUAAAAGGCUUGGUUCCCUUGGCAACUGAGGGGACUACAGUUUUUCACAGAGUACAAGAUGGGCUUGGGGAGGAAGGGAGGUGAAAGUGAGGGAUGGGGGGUGGUUUGCAGGAGGAGGGAAGAAGCGGGGAGGGGCAGCCUGUUUACCAGUGCUGCUUGAGUUUGAGUCUCAAGGGAACCUUUUGUAGGUUCUGGCCUGGGAAAUGCAGGAUACCCUGAGUGUGGGGGAUGCUCUUAACUGCUUCUCAGUUUUGAGUCACCAUUGGAAGUCUCUGGUCCAUGGUAGAAAUGUGAUUGUUGUAGGCCUCAUGCUAACCUCAUGGACAGCUCAGGGGAGUUAAGCAGAGCCUACCUUUAUAGGUGACUAGGCCUGGCCCUGUUUUAUAACUGGAGACCCCUGGAAGUGUUGAUAGAUGCUUGAGCCCAUAGAGAGCUAUUUGUGAAGCAGAGAUUAGAAUAGCAGGCGCCUGUCUCCUGGGUCUGAUCUCGAUGGACUAGACAAGGCUAUUUUUAAUAUCAAGCAGGAGAGCUGCUGAAAUAUAGACAAAGUGCAGAACCUGGGCUGAUUUUGUCUCAAGCACAAGACUUUGUGAGAGGAGCUUAAAAAUCUAUCCAUGUACUGAACAGAUACAUUUAGCCUCAGUGAAAACAAAUGAUAAGGGACGGGAGACUUUGUCCCAAAACUUUGGGAUGAGAGGUCCCCACAUGUUGUCACUAGCACGGAGGUGUACAGGAGACUUGGUAUAACCCUCUCCGAGGCUUUAGAUGGUCAGGG
rnacentral:lncRNA from 1 species